rnacentral:lncRNA from 1 species
UUUUUUUUUUGGUACCAGGGAUUGAACUCGGGGUACUUGAUGCUGAGCCACAUCCCCAGCCCUAUUUUGUAUUUUAUUUAGAGACAGGGUCUCACUGAAUCGCUUAGCGCCCUUCACCUUUGCUGAGGCUGGAUUUGAACUUGCGAUCCUCCUGUCUCAGCUUCCCGAGUCACCCUGGCUUUGGUUUUGUCUGCUGUUUUUCUCAUGGCUAGAUUGGGGUUAUGAAUGGGGAAGGAAGACUGCUUUGGUCCCUCUAAGGAGUGGACAUGUUGAGUGAUGAGCCCAGAUGCUAUCGGUAUCAAUUAUCAGUCAUGCCACUGUGAGUUGAAUGUGGAGGGACCCUAGGAUGGGGGUCUUGGUUUGGAUUUCUUCUUUCUGGACACACAAGAUCAUAGACUGUGCUGGGUGUAGUGGCCACAUCCUCUAUUCCCAGUGGCUUGGGAGGCUGAGGGAGGAAAAUCACAAGUUCAAGGUCAGCCUCAGCAACUUAGUGAGACCUUGUCUCAAAAUAAAAAACAAAAAUGGCUAGAGAUGUAGCUCAGUGGUAAAGCACCCCUGGGUUAAAUCCCCAGUACCAAAAAAAGGCCAUGGAUUGCAAUGAGGAAGGACCUCAAAGCUGGGAGUGGGUUGGGAAUGGUUGGUGAGUGUAUGGGAAGAGCAGCAGGCUAAAAACGAGAAGGUCUGCCAGUACCAGGCCUAACUCCAUCCCUUCUGAACUGUGUGAGGAUUAUUUAACCGCCCUGGCCACAGUAUCCUUAUUCCCCUAUGAGUACACAAACCUGUCCCCUCGCUUCCUCCUAUAGUUGGUGACUGGAUCAAAUGACACAUGGAUAUGAGAAGACUUUAAAAAUAUAAAAAGCAAUACACACAUGGGGGAAGUCCGUCUUUGAAGUCUGCACUGGGUUUUUCAGCAUUUCAGCCCCAGCAGGAGGAGAAAGAUUUAUUUAUUGACCCCCAUUUACAAAUACUUGCAGAUGUGUAUCUGUUUGCAUGUAAUCUUUUUUUAAAGUCAGGUUUAUUGAUAUAUAGAUAUAUGUAGUAAAAUUCAUCCUUGCUAAGCAUACAGUUCUAAGUGUUUUUGACAAAAAGAAUGUAAAUAUGUAAU